rnacentral:rRNA from 1 species
CCUACGGGAGGCAGCAGUGGGGAAUAUUGGUCAAUGGGCGAAAGCCUGAACCAGCCAAGUCGCGUGAGGGACGACGGUCCUAUGGAUUGUAAACCUCUUUUGUCGGGGAAAAAAGGCUCCCACGGGUGGGCGGAUGAGUGUACCCUAAGAACAAGCAUCGGCUAACUCCGUUCCAGCGGCCGCGGUAAUACGGAGGAUGCAAGCGUUAUCCGGAUUUAUUGGGUUUAAAGGGUGCGUAGGCGGACAGUCAAGUCAGCGGUAAAAAUGCGGUGCUCAACGCCGUACAGCCGUUGAAACUGGCAGUCUUGAGUGGGCGAGAAGUAGGCGGAAUGCGUGGUGUAGCGGUGAAAUGCAUAGAUAUCACGCAGAACUCCGAUGGCGAAGGCAGCAUACCGGAGCCCGACUGACGCUGAGGCACGAAAGCGUGGGUAUCGAACAGGAUUAGAUACCCUAGUAGUC